rnacentral:rRNA from 1 species
UGGGGAAUAUUGGACAAUGGGCGCAAGCCUGAUCCAGCCAUGCCGCGUGAGUGAUGAAGGCCCUAGGGUUGUAAAGCUCUUUCACCGGUGAAGAUAAUGACGGUAACCGGAGAAGAAGCCCCGGCUAACAUCGUGCCAGCAGCCGCGGUAAUACGAAGGGGGCUAGCGUUGUUCGGAUUUACUGGGCGUAAAGCGCACGUAGGCGGACUUUUAAGUCAGGGGUGAAAUACCGGGGCUCAACCCCGGAACUGCCUUUGAUACUGGAAGUCUUGAGUAUGGUAGAGGUGAGUGGAAUUCCGAGUGUAGAGGUGAAAUUCGUAGAUAUUCGGGGGAACACCAGUGGCGAAGGCGGCUCACUGAACCAUUACUGACGCUGAGGUGCGAAAGCGUGGGGAGCAAACAGG